rfam:Tetrasphaera jenkinsii Ben 74 genomic scaffold, 1541_scaffold1
GACAGUCGCGCGCCUAACCAUCCAGCGGCUGCCGUCGAGAGCUUCCCGCUCGGAUGGCCGGGGGACCCACUAGCGGCCGCUCGCGGCCUUGGGGUGAAGCCGGUGCGCCGGCGGGGAACCUGACUUCCCUAACCCGACAGCUAACCCCGGCGGCGCCAGUCAGGAAAGGA